rnacentral:rRNA from 1 species
AACUUUCAACAACGGAUCUCUUGGUUCUGGCAUCGAUGAAAAACGCAGCGAAAUGCGAUAAGUAAUGUGAAUUGCAAAAUUCAGUGAAUCAUCGAAUCUUUGAACGCACAUUGCGCCCGCCAGUAUUCUGGCGGGCAUGCCUGUUCGAGCGUCAU